CAAUUUAGGAGCCGAUGCUACAACCAAAGAGCACACAGGAGUUUAAAGUCCUUUUUCACAUUCAAUACAGACGAGGAUUUUGUGUAUAGUGUUGAACAACGGUGAAAACUUACUCAGAGAACCAAAUGCAAUCCAGGAUGUUGCCCCAACUUUGCCGACUCAUCUUUAAACCUCAGUUGUGUUCUUGUAUUUUACACCACACUGUGAUCCUACUCAUUCUGACAGAUAGUGCGACAGUGACUAAUGUCAAAAGUGGCAUAGAGGAUCCACCUGAUGGAAGGAAUGGUACAGACUUUGCUGAAAAAUUUUACAUCCUCAAUGUGGCGGAUGUUACUUUUAGUGGCUUUGUUGUUGUCGCUUUGUUUUCCGGAGGUAUCGCUUUUUUCUGUAAAUGCAAAAAGCCAAAACUCGCUAAGCUGCAGGGACGAGCUCAGAAGAAACAGGAAGAGCUGAACGUAUUGUCAGAGCUCAACACUCAACUGUUGGAACUGAAGAGGGGAAAUCACCAAGUAAAGGAAGAAUUCAGACUGUUAGACGAGACAAUUAAAGAGCUGGCAGAGAACAAAGAGAAGCUUCAGCUGGUAGAGAUCAAAAUAGCACAGACAGAGAAAGAAAAAGAGACAGACAAAACAGAAAGAUACUUAGAGGAAAAACAAAGUCUCCUGACUGCUCAGCGUAAACUGGAAAAGAGAAAGGAAGAACUGGAGAAUCUACAACUGAAUAUGGAGAAACAGCUGCGGCAAUUAGAGGAUAUAAUAAGCACAAUGAGAGAAAGGAAGACAAAAGCAGAAUACGUUUUAGAGGUGAUUGACUUGAAGCUGGAGGAGGUAGAAUGUUAAAGUGAUACAACUCGUCUUGUCCUAGAGCAGUGAGAAAGAAAUAAUUUACUGCUACUUUACUGUUUACUACUAAUACCACUACAGUUGAUUUUAAACCAAGCAACAAACAUGUGAUUAAAGUGCAGAAUUUAACCUUGACUCAAAUCUUUUAGCAAAACCUUUUCACUGUUAUUCGUAUAUACAGUGUCUGAUUUUCAGGUGCUCAAAUGUGAUUGGACUGUUGAUAGUUGUAAAUGCAGGAUUGCUUCUAAUAAUUGGAAGAACUUCUUUUUAUUAGAGCAAUCUUUUAAAAUUGUUUACAGGUUAUCUAAACUAUAAAUAAACAGUACAUAAAAAAUAAAAACAAACAGUAAAGAAUAAAGUAACAAUAAAGUAAAGGUUGACAGUAAAGAAAAGACAAGAAUUUGCUAAAAAAGGGAAUUUUUUUUAGUGAAAGGCUUCCAAUUUGAUUGAUGGUGUUUUUGUUUUUGGGUUAUUCCUUAAAAAUUAUUAUCCCAAGGAUAUUGUCAUGAGAAGAAUCAUGCUUCUUUGAAGUUCAUCUAUUAACUGUCCGUGUAAACUCGAGAAUCUACCACUGAACUUGGAGAAACAACAGCAGUAAACAGAGGAUAUAAUGAGCAUGAUGACAGAAAGGAAGACAAAAGUAGCACCAAAAAAGUGAUUAACUUGCAACUACAGGUGGUAGAAAGCCAAAGUGAUAUGAUUCAUCUUCACACAGACUAUGGAGAAAGAAAUAAUACACAAUCUGCACUGAACCUGUGUUACUUAAUGAUUAACUUUAUUAUGUGAACUAUGUAUCUUAAACAAUGAGUUGAAUAUAAGUAUCAUCUACACAAAAUUGAUACAUUUGAUUCACUUUAUUAUAAAUUGUAUUCAUUUUGUUUAGUAAGAAAGGAGAAAAUGACUUAUCGCAAAUGUAUUUACAGAGAGAUUGACAGCAGGUUAAGGUAGAUGGGAAUGUACUAAUGCAUGAAAAGGCUGGGAGGCUGGGAGAAAAUAACGGGUAAUUUAAAAAGCCGAAGAAUUAAAAAAAUGAAAGUAAAAGAUGGAUGGAGGGAAGUUAAUGAAUCAUGAAGUGCAGAGGAUUAGUAAGGUGGACAUGAGGGCAGACUGUUCCCUGAAGAGGAUAGAGUAAAAGUUCAGUUAUUCCAGAUGACACACCCUGUGGAAAAUUUAUCAAAUAAAAAUUAGCCCAUAGCAGUGACCCAAUAAUUAUAAAAUAAAAAGAAGAAUGAUGAAAACUAUUUGGAUGUAAUUAUGACGUCCAUUUCUGUGUGCUGUCAUUGUCACUGUGUCGAGUGACCCAGCGUUUUGUGUUGUCUUAUUUUUUGAUGGUUUAUAAUUUAUGUUAAAUUCAUUUAGUUAUCUUAAACACAGGCAGUGAAGACACAAGGAGUAUCUAAUAAACAAUGAACUAUAACAGAGCAAACUAGGCAAAACAGACUGAGCUUAAGUCUUCCUCGCCCUCCAUUCUUUUCAGUAAUGUCUCUAGCUGUGUCCCAAUUUAGGGUCUGCCCCCUUGGAGGACCCGGCCUUCGUGAUCUACGUUGGCCUCACCUCCAAAGACCGAGAAGGCCGGAAGUGCGAGGCUGUGAAAUGGGACGGUCUAGCCUCUGUUGCAUUGCUCAGGUUGCCUAACAACUAUGAAACGUUUCAUACAGCAUUGUUUGACAGAAAUGAAGGAGAGCAUUUUUUUGUUCAUCUGUUUGCUUUUAUAUGAGCUUUGUUUGAUUUGAUAAGUAUCUGAGGCUGAGACCACAAGACUGUAAAAACAUGAACAAUAGAUAUUUAUAUUUCCUAUCACCUUAAAUCUUCACUCAAAGACAAGUAUAUUUUGUUCGUUUAAUAUGUUGGCAUUACUAAAUUUGGCUCAAUGCUUACAUAUAUGUGUAAAAAGCAAAUGUACGAGCUGUGAUAACUGUUUCUGAUAGAAUGAAGAUCAGACUGAUAUAUUAAAUAUUCCUUUAUUGGGUGAGAAAAUCAGAGCAUGUCAUAACUGCUUUAAGUCAUACAGAAUAGAUAUCAGAGCCUUAAACAGGCCGACUUCUGCUAAAUGGGUCAAACUGGGCUGAAAGUAUACAAACACAUAACAUCCUUAUAGAAUAUGAUGUAACACUAUAGAUCAACUUACCUCAGAAUAUAUAAAGCAUAUAAACAAUUACAGCAAUAUGAUGCAACAAACACAGCAGUACUACUAAUCCAAAAUACUCAAAGCUUCAUAGAACUGAAACAAACAUUUAUUUUUAGCUCCAUUCUGCUGCUGAUACAUACUUUAGGUUUCUGAAUAUUAAACUUGUUGCUGCCUUUCAUAGUGUGUAACUUGAAGGCCCUGAGUACUUUCUCCCACACUGAAAACACUGGAAUGAUCAAAUUAUCUGAACAUUACCUAAUAAGACUGAUUCAGGACAGACAAUUAGUUAUUCUAAACUUUCCUAGCAGUCCUUCACAAACAGGGAACAGUCUGUCUAUUCUCUCCAUCUGUCAGCUGCUGCUGGCUCUUCCUCCUCCUCUUCCUCACACACUGCUGAGUUUGUCCUGGUGGAUCAUCAGGGGUGCAAAGCCUCACAGAUGAUGUGCAGCAGUGGGUCCCUCAGUCUGUCCUCACUCUGGACACUUGCAGUUGUCACACAUGGAAUUCAAAUGUGUGAUAAGCUGCAGGAUUCAAACACAAGUGUAACUUAUAAAUACAUGUUCAUACUUUUAUUCCACAAUCAGAGAGAAAGAAACAGAGAGAGAGUGCAGGACAGACAGACAGGUGACAGUCUCAGGUGUAUACACUGCUACAAAACAACUGAGGUCUGAAUCUGAGGGCAGUUCCUGCAAUCACAGAGGUUCGUUCUCUGCUGAGAGCUCGGAACAAAGGUUUUAAAUCUGGCGAGGCAGCAGUUUACAGUCUAGCAAGGACAAACCUGUCACAGAGGUUAAAAGAAGCAAAGAGGCUGUACGCACAAAAAAUGGACCAAACUUUCUUGAAUCUUGAAAGUAAUAUUGAGUAUAACGUUGUCUUUAUAUCUAAAGAACACUGUGCUAGUAAUACUCUGUCUGUAUCCCAGGGCCUGGAAUUCUGUCUAAACUGAACACAGCCUGGUUUAAUUACCAGAGACUCAAUAAAUACCCCUUUUGUCAAACUGUAGCUCAAAGAAUUUCUUUGUUUCAUGUGAUCAUUCCUAACUUUUAUUUUGUCAAUGAGAAGGAUUACUGUUGCAAAAUGGACAUGUUUGAGACCAAACCACUGUGGUUACUGAAACCUAACCAAAAUAUUUUUUUUUAAAUCAAGAGUGAAAGUAAAAAGUGCAUAAGGUGAUUUUACAAAUAUCUGAAGUUUUAUUGAAGAAGUUGUAAACAAAUAAAUGCUGCUAUGUUCAUUUACCCAGUUUUAUUAUGAUUAAAGGUUAAUCCUGAUAAAGAGAGAGUGAAACUGCA
ensembl:lncRNA